rnacentral:rRNA from 2 species
GUCUACGGCCAUACCACUUAGAAAGCACCGGUUCUCGUCCGAUCACCGAAGUUAAGCUCAGUAGGGAGCGGUAAGUACUUGGAUGGGUGGACCGCUUCGGAAUACCGUGUGCUGUAGGUA